GACGAACGCUGGCGGCGUGCUUAACACAUGCAAGUCGAACGAACCUUGAUUACGGAUUCUUCGGAUGAAUUAUGAUAUGACUGAGUAGCGGACGGGUGAGUAACGCCUGAGUAACCUGCCCUUCCGAGGGGGAUCGCGUUUUGAAACGAACGGUAAUACCGCAUCAUGUAUUUUAAACGCAUGAUCGAAAUACCAUAGAUUUAUCGCUGAAGGAUGGACUGGCUUCUGAUUAGGUAGUUGGAGGGGUAAAGGCCUACCAAGCGGACGAUCAGUAGCCGGACUGCGAGGAUGCUCUGCAACAUUGGGACUGAGACACGGCCCAGACUCCUACGGGAGGGAGCAGUGGCGAAUAGUGCCAAAUGGGCGCGAGUCUGAUGCAGCAACGCAGCGUGAAGGAAGACGGUUUUCGGAUUGUAAACUUCUGUUCUUAGUGAAGAAUGAUGACGGUAGCUAAGGAGAAAGCCACGGCUAACUACGUG
rnacentral:rRNA from 1 species